GAGAGUUAAAUAGCACGUGAAAUUGUUGAAAGGGAAACGAUUGAAGCCAGUCGUACCGGCGGAUAAUCAGCCUUUCGGGUGCGAUUCUGUGGGGCGUGAGGAGCUUAACCGCCUUCAUGUUUUGCAUAUUCGUGCACAUUUGGUGUACUUGUCCGUGUGGUGGGUUAACAUCAAUUUUGGUGGUCAUAAAAUGACUGGAGGAAUGUAGCUUCGAUCUCGUAUUGAAGUGUUAUAGCCUUCGGUAGAUGUGAUGAUCGAGAUUGAGGAUUGCAACGGAUACCCUUCGGGGCUACCUGUCUGGUCUCUGAUCGUUGCUCUGGUGCCGAAAGCUUGCUUACGGUUAUCAAAGUCGAUGGUCAAUAGGUUAGAACGGGUUAAAUUCGUUAAGGAUGUUGACGUAAUGGCUUUAAACGA
rnacentral:rRNA from 1 species